GAUUAUGGCUCAGUGGUAGAGUGCUUGCCUUGCAUGCGAGGGGCACUGGGUUGGAUCCUCAGCAUCA
rnacentral:tRNA from 1 species